GCCUUCGUGGUGUAGUGGUCAGCAUGCUCGGCGGGUAUUCGAGAGUUUCGUGGUUCGAGUCCCGGCGAGGGCA
rfam:Stegodyphus mimosarum contig57987, whole genome shotgun sequence.